GUAAUACAUCGGAACGUACCCAGUAGCGGGGGAUAGCCCGGCGAAAGCCGGAUUAAUACCGCAUACGCCCUACGGGGGAAGGGGGGGGAUCGUAAGACCUCUCACUAUUGGAGCGGCCGAUGGCUGAUUAGCUAGUUGGUGGGGUAAAGGCCUACCAAGGCAACGAUCAGUAGCUGGUCUGAGAGGACGACCAGCCACACUGGGACUGAGACACGGCCCAGACUCCUACGGGAGGCAGCAGUGGGGAAUUUUGGACAAUGGGCGAAAGCCUGAUCCAGCAAUGCCGCGUGUGCGAAGAAGGCCUUCGGGUUGUAAAGCACUUUUGUCAGGGAAGAAAUCGUUCGGGCUAAUACCUCGGGCAGUUGACGGUACCUGAAGAAUAAGCACCGGCUAACUACGUGCCAGCAGCCGCGGUAAUACGUAGGGUGCAAGCGUUAAUCGGAAUUACUGGGCGUAAAGCGUGCGCAGGUGGUUCGUUAAGACAGUUGUGAAAUCCCCGGGCUUAACCUGGGAACUGCAAUUGUGACUGGCGGACUAGAGUUUGGCAGAGGGGGGUGGAAUUCCUGGUGUAGCAGUGAAAUGCGUAGAUAUCAGGAGGAACACCGAUGGCGAAGGCAGCCCCCUGGGCCAUGACUGACACUCAUGCA
rnacentral:rRNA from 1 species